CCGGGGGUUACCUGCAGAUAUUUUUCCAGCACUGUGGGGGAGGUGCAGGAUUUAUAUUAUAUUUUAAAUUUCUAUAUCUAUAUUUUUUUUUAUUUCUAUAUUUAUAUUUUUUUUCUCCCCCAGGAAGGGUUCCCAGGUGCGUUGGGAAUUCCCAGAUUCCCGGGGAUGUUACCUGCAGAUAUUUUUCCAGCAUUUUCACGAUGUGUUUGUUGUUCAGGACGCUCUUGGCCACGUGCAGGCUCGACUUCUUGAACUGCUCAGCCGCCAGCUGGAAUUCAAAACAAAAAACAAAAAACAAA